rnacentral:misc_RNA from 1 species
CCAAACUUGGUCAUUUAGAGGAAGUAAAAGUCGUAACAAGGUUUCCGUAGGUGAACCUGCGGAAGGAUCAUUACCGAGUGCGGGCCCUCUGGGUCCAACCUCCCACCCGUGUUUAUUGUACCUUGUUGCUUCGGCGGGCCCGCCGUCUUCGGACGGCCGCCGAGGAGGCCUCCGCGCCCCCGGGCCCGCGCCCGCCGAAGACCACAACAUGAACUCUGUUCUGAAGUUUUGCAGUCUGAGUUGAUUAUCAUAAUCAGUUAAAACUUUCAACAACGGAUCUCUUGGCUCUCGCAUCGAUGAAGAACGCAGC